CAAUUUUCUUUUCUUUCAUCAUUAUCAACUGCCUCUUUCUCUCUCUAUUCUUUUCCUUCACUGCUUCAAACCGAAACCCUAGCCUCUGUGUUCCGUUGGCUUGAAGCUUCUACAUCUCAUUUUCUCUGAAAACAUUCGCUUGUGCUUGAAUCGACUGAUAAAGGAUACACGCUUUGCCCUUUCCAAUUCCUGCUCUCAAACCCUACUGUCCGAAUACACAUCUUCCCCUUCACGUUUCCUACCGAUCAAUUGAUUUAUCAAUCCUAUAAUAUACUAAUCUCAUUAAUGUUGAAAGCCAUCAUCAAUUUGGCAUAGAUGGGUAUUCAAGAAAAUAAAGGCAUAAAUGGGAGUUUGGGUUCGUUUCUUACUCGCAGGUGCUUUAGCUUUAUCUUGAACUUUUUAAAGUGCAAGAUAAUCAUCCAUUGAAAACAAUAAUAAUACAACGGUGCUAUGGAUAUUUGUCACUAAAUUAUAUUUUACUUCACUAACCAUCAACAUUUGUUAGACUAGUGGGUAUGGAGAGCCUCAUCCCCAAGGGGAUGGGCUGCCACGUCACCGCCACGUAGGAGGGGUUUGAAGGGGAUGGACCUGGGGUGGGGGAUGAACCCCUUUAUAUAUAUAUGUAUGUAUGUAUAGAUGUCUGUGUGUGAGGAGAGAGGAGAGAGGCACGGCGAGUUCAGCUGGGGGAGGACGAUCUUCACGGGGCUGGGGCGGCGACGGGGCUGGGGGGUGGAGAGUUUGGGGCGGCGACGGGGCUGGGGGGUGGAGAGUUUGGGGCGGCGGCGGGAGGACGAGGCUGGGGACGAGCCCCAUACCUUCUGGUCUUAUUGUUUAAUAUGUGCAUUAAUCACUUUUUGCAAAUUCUUUGGUUGUCUUAUGAGGGGCUACUUAGAAGGUGAGUAAUUAAUGGUUAUUUUGGAAACUUUGCACUAAUUUUCUUGCUAAAUGGUCAUGACGAUGUUGAUUUGUGAGGUUUUGAUGUGUGCUGCCUGGUUUAGAAGAAGAGGACGUUCCUCAACUAUACUCAAAAGGGCCAAAUCUUGAGUUGUUGGAUAUGUUAGGUGAAAAACAAGAAGCAAGAAUCAAUGUUGGACAUGAAUAGAAAACUUUUCCAAGAAUAUGGAUUCUUUGCUUUACUUGAUCGGACAUGAGAACUAAAUGAAGUUCAACACUAAAAAUCAAGGGCCCUUAUAUAUGGGCCUCAAUCUUUGGCUUAUUUUUUAUAGAUUUUUUAUAGAGUCCAGCCACAAUAAAUCUUGAUUUAGGUUAAAAUGCAGGUGACUGAGCUUGAGAAACAAUUGAAAAUGGAGAUAAAAUCAAGAAACAGAGCCAGAGCCGAAAAGAUCUGGUAAAAGACAUAAUUGCUCUUUAGAUGAUGGUAAUUUAGGGUCUUUUGAUGAAGAUAUUUUUGAGUAGUCAGAAAGAUGGAGCUGAAGAUCUUUAAAAAAAAAGAAGAUGACAGUGGCUAGAUUUUAUGUAUUUUGGUUCCAGCGGAAUGAAAUGGUCAAGACCGGGUUCUCCGGGUUCGGAGGAACCCGACUUUGUAGUGGGGCUACUUCAACUUAAAAGAUGAAAGAAGGGUUACUAAAUAAAGUUCAAUAAGCAAUCCCAAACACCCUUCUAAAAGCAUGAUUUUUCUUUCAACACCUUAUAUCAUGAGUUAGUUACUGUCAUUCAAUGGAAAUUUGUCACAGAUAUCUUAAGCUUGAAAAUACACAGUUGGAAGCGCAACUCCUCGUGUUAAAAUUACUUAAAAUGUGUGAUUUAGGGUAACCAAAGUCAUCAGUUACGCGUUCCCAAUCAAAGUCAGCUGCAGCUUACAUUGCACUUGAAGUUCUUUCAAGAAAAGAAUAUGAUGGAAAUGUGGCUCCUUUGUGCUUUUAGUUAUUUACUAGACAUGCUAUUUAAUAUUAUUUCUUAUUUGAAUUACCAUACUUGACUCAUCCUAACACACACCAUUGUUCUUGUGAAAAACGAUAAAUUAAAUCGUUAAAAAUUUAAAAGUUAAAUUUUCGACAUA